CCUACGGGCGGCAGCAGUGAGGAAUAUUGGUCAAUGGACGAGAGUCUGAACCAGCCAAGCAGCGUGAAGGAUGACUGCCCUAUGGGUUGUAAACUUCUUUUAUAUGGGAAUAAAAUGUUCCACGUGUGGGAUUUUGUAUGUACCAUAUGAAUAAGGAUCGGCUAACUCCGUGCCAGCAGCCGCGGUAAUACGGAGGAUCCGAGCGUUAUCCGGAUUUAUUGGGUUUAAAGGGAGCGUAGGUUGAUUGUUAAGUCAGUUGUGAAAGUUUGCGGCUCAACCGGAAAAUUGCAGUUGAAACUGGCAGUCUUGAGUACAGUAGAGGUAGGCGGAAUGCGUGGUGUAGCGGUGAAAUGCUUAGAUAUCACGAAGAACUCCGAUUGCGAAGGCAGUUCACUGGACUGCAACUGACACUGAGGCUCGAAAGUGUGGGUAUCAAACAGGAGUAGAUACCCCAGUAGUC
rnacentral:rRNA from 1 species